UGUCUGUAAAUAGGAGGGCAGCAAUACAGAGUGGAGGAGAAGACAAGGUGGGAGGGGGUCUCAUCCCAGAAAUAGCAAGGGAUGCCAAAUGAUGGCUGGAGCAGAGGAGAGACCGGUGACUUUGAGGAAAAGAAGAGGAGGAUGGCCCAGGGCGAGCAGAAGUGUAAUGUUAAGGCACUAACUACGGAGUGUAUGGAGACACACACAGCAGAGAGAGACGUUCAUGUGUGAAAUGAGAUCUCAGCACAAUCAGUGGGAGUCGCAGCCAUAAAGCACAUCAAGCCUUACAGCUUUAAGAUAAACCCAAGAUGUCAUGAAGCUGAGCGUGCCUCAACAAACCCCAAAUGUUGCCACGAUUCAAUCAACCUUUUGAGUCUUGCAGCCUGUGAUUUAGCCACACGUUACAAAAUCUUUAAACAGCUUUUAAUUUCAACUUUAUUUUAGCUUAGAAAAAUUACACAGUGACUUAUUAGUAAUCAUAGUCACCAGCCUUAUAUCUUGCACAACAAGGCAGAUAGUUCUGGCUUAGUAAUAUCUCAUUUUUACAAUAGAGCACUAUAAUCUAUCAAAUACACCAGCAGAACAAUGAUUUUUUUUAAUGCUUUGUCAUUUGCAAUAGAUUUUCAGCAAAUGUCCCACAGGCCUCCAGAAUCUAUGCAUCUCAUUCUCCUAUUUGCCAAGCAUAAAUCUUGAAUCAUUGUAGGAUAUAAGACAUGAUUAUACUCUGUAUUCUUCUAUAAACCCCUGACGUCUAACUACAAGCUGAAAUAUGUUUGUAUGCAAACAAAGAAAGUCAAGGGGCUAUGAUGGGCGAGGUGGGAUUUCCACAGCUCUUCUUCACUCUGAUGGAUGGAUGGAUCAGCGAUACCCAGAUGGAUGGAGAGAGCGACUGGGCACAGACACAGGAGGAGAAUGUGUGGCAAAAUCAAGGGAUUAGCACAGCAGGAGAUCAGUGAUGAUGUUUGAACUGCCAUUCCGAAACAUUUUAUCCUUAACCCCUAAAACAAAAGUGUACAAAUCUGGGUGAAAUCUCAAUACAUACAACAAAUACAUACAUAUGUAUAAAUAUGUAUCUUUAAGACACACGAACAAUUUCUCUCUAAAACAAUAAAU
ensembl:lncRNA